UACGGGGGGAGCAAGCGUUGUUCGGAUUUACUGGGCGUAAAGGGCGCGUAGGCGGUCGUGACAAGUCACUUGUGAAAUCUCCGGGCUUAACUCGGAACGGUCAAGUGAUACUGUCGGACUAGAGUACAGAAGGGGCAACUGGAGUUCUCGGUGUAGCGGUGAAAUGCGUAGAUAUCGAGAGGAACACCUGCGGCGAAGGCGGGUUGCUGGGCUGAUACUGACGCUGAGGCGCGAAAGCCAGGGGAGCGAACGGG
rnacentral:rRNA from 1 species